rnacentral:misc_RNA from 1 species
GCUACACAAUAAGUAGGAAAACAACAUCCAAAGCAAGUAGCAAUAGUAGCCUUCGUCUGGGAAAACUACAAGCAAACUCAUGAAACAACUCGCCGUUAAGGUGUCAAGUAUCGAACACUCAAUGAAGCAAGAGAUGAUGUUUGUCAGCCACAGUACAACCUACAGAUUAGAGCACAUUUGGCUCAUAAUGCCAAUAAGUUAAUAUGUACAUAAAAAAUUCAAAAAAAUUAGAAUCCUAUUUCUUCACGUGGCAUUAGAAGAAAACAGAUUGAACUACCCAGAAACUUUGUUGGAGAAUGCUCCCAUGCCAUACAGCUACAAG